GAUGAACGCUAGCUACAGGCUUAACACAUGCAAGUCGAGGGGCAGCAUGGAGGAAGCUUGCUUUCUCCGAUGGCGACCGGCGCACGGGUGAGUAACGCGUAUCCAACCUUCCCCUUAGUAGGGCAUAGCCCGGCGAAAGUCGGAUUAAUACCCUAUGUUGUUCGAAGAGGACAUCUGAUUUGAACCAAAGACUUGUCGCUAAGGGAUGGGGAUGCGUCUGAUUAGGUUGUUGGCGGGGUAACGGCCCACCAAGCCAUCGAUCAGUAGGGGUUCUGAGAGGAAGGUCCCCCACAUUGGAACUGAGACACGGUCCAAACUCC
rnacentral:rRNA from 1 species